rnacentral:rRNA from 1 species
UACGAGGGGGGCAAGCGUUGUUCGGAAUUAUUGGGCGUAAAGGGCGCGUAGGCGGUGCUCUAAGUCGGAUGUGAAAACUCUGGGCUCAACCCAGAGCCUGCAUCCGAAACUGGAGUGCUAGAGUUCUGGAGGGGGUAGCGGAAUUCCUGGUGUAGCGGUGAAAUGCGUAGAUAUCAGGAGGAACACCGGUGGCGAAGGCGGCUACCUGGACAGAAACUGACGCUGAGGCGCGAAAGCCAGGGGAGCGAACGGG